rnacentral:rRNA from 1 species
GACGAACGCUGGCGGCGUGCUUAACACAUGCAAGUCGAACGAUGAAAGCGGGAGCUUGCUCCUGCUGGAUUAGUGGCGAACGGGUGAGUAACACGUGAGCAAUCUGCCCCGAACUCUGGGAUAAGCGUUGGAAACGACGUCUAAUACCGGAUACGACGCGCGAAGGCAUCUUCUGCGCGUGGAAAGAAUUUCGGUUCGGGAUGAGCUCGCGGCCUAUCAGCUAGUUGGUGAGGUAAUGGCUCACCAAGGCGACGACGGGUAGCCGGCCUGAGAGGGUGACCGGCCACACUGGGACUGAGACACGGCCCAGACUCCUACGGGAGGCAGCAGUGGGGAAUAUUGCACAAUGGGCGCAAGCCUGAUGCAGCAACGCCGCGUGAGGGACGACGGCCUUCGGGUGUAAACCUCUUUAGUAGGUAAGAAGCGAAAGUGACGGUACCUGCAGAAAAGACACCGGCUAACUACGUAGCCAGCAGCCGCGGU